rnacentral:rRNA from 1 species
UGUUGGUUCAAGCCUGUAGUCGUGCCUGGUAGGCAAAUCCGCCGGGCUUAGAUGAGGGGUGAUAACGAGUCUGCUUGCAGACGAAGUGAGUGAUACCCAGCUUCCAGGAAAAGCCACUAAGCUUCAGCUACACACGACCGUACCGCAAACCGACACUGGUGCGCGAGAUGAGUAUUCUAAGGCGCUUGAGAGAACUCAGGAGAAGGAACUCGGCAAAUUGAUACCGUAACUUCGGGAGAAGGUAUGCCCCAAGUAGGUGAACUCGAACAGAGGGAGCCCAACGGGGUUGCAAAAAAUCGGUGGCUGCGACUGUUUAAUAAAAACACAGCACUCUGCAAACACGAAAGUGGACGUAUAGGGUGUGACGCCUGCCCGGUGCUGGAAGAUUAAAUGAUGGGGUGCAAGCUCUUGAUUGAAGUCCCAGUAAACGGCGGCCGUAACAAUAACGGUCCUAAGGUAGCGAAAUUCCUUGUCGGGUAAGUUCCGACCUGCACGAAUGGCGUAACGAUGGCCACACUGUCUCCUCCUGAGACUCAGCGAAGUUGAAAUGUUUGUGAUGAUGCAAUCUCCCCGCGGAAAGACGGAAAGACCCCAUGAACCUUUACUGUAGCUUUGUAUUGGACUUUGAACAGAUCUGUGUAGGAUAGGUGGGAGGCUUUGAAGUGAUGUCGCUAGAUGUCAUGGAGCCAACGUUGAAAUACCACCCUGGUGUGUUUGAGGUUCUAACCUAGGUCCAUUAUCUGGAUCGGGGACAGUGCAUGGUAGGCAGUUUGACUGGGGCGGUCUCCUCCCAAAGCGUAACGGAGGAGUUCGAAGGUACGCUAGUUACGGUCGGACAUCGUGACGAUAGUGCAAUGGCAUAAGCGUGCUUAACUGCGAGACUGACAAGUCGAGCAGAUGCGAAAGCAGGACAUAGUGAUCCGGUGGUUCUGUAUGGAAGGGCCAUCGCUCAACGGAUAAAAGGUACUCUGGGGAUAACAGGCUGAUACCGCCCAAGAGUUCAUAUCGACGGCGGUGUUUGGCACCUCGAUGUCGGCUCAUCUCAUCCUGGGGCUGUAGCCGGUCCCAAGGGUAUGGCUGUUCGCCAUUUAAAGAGGUACGUGAGCUGGGUUUAAAACGUCGUGAGACAGUUUGGUCCCUAUCUUCCGUGGGCGCUGCAGAUUUGAGGAAGCCUGCUCCUAGUACGAGAGGACCGGAGUGGACACACCUCUGGUGUAUCGGUUGUCACGCCAGUGGCAUUGCCGAGUAGCUAAGUGUGGAAGAGAUAACCGCUGAAAGCAUCUAAGCGGGAAACUCGUUUCAAGAUGAGAUCUGCCGGGGCCUUGAGCCCCCUGAAGAGUCGUUCAAGACCAGGACGUUGAUAGGUCAGGUGUGGAAGCGAAG